AAUUAAAUUUGUCACGCCUCGGGGUCCCCUUUUAGUUUGAAACACAGCGGAAAAGCGUUUAAAAUUUUUUUUAUUUUUGAAAACCUGACCCUAGAGUAUGCCAGAUCCGCCACAAAUACAGGGAAUCCACUGUUCACACAGACAGAGUCUCCCCUAUANCCGUGGCUUCUCCGGAAAACCGGAGUUACUAUUCACUUAAGUAAAAACUAAAAGUCGCGUAUCUUCUCCAUUUUAGCUCAUUUUCGCCCGAAACUUGACGAGUGCUUAUGUAAUUAAAUUACACACAUAAAAAUCAUCAACAGAGAGUUAGUAGCACUGUCAAAAAUCUCAGUCCUUACAAAAUUUAUUGUAUAAAAUUAUAAAUUUUAAGCUCAAAUUAAAUUUUAAUUCAAUUCUAUGAAGUUUUGUUACUUAUCAAAUUAGCCAUUAUCUAAUUUGGUUGGUAACAAAAUUAAAUAAGGAAACAAAUAUUUGUUGAAUGUUAUUCAAUUUGGUAAUUGGCUAGUAUUUAUUUUCAAUAUUACCCUUACUGUUAAUCUUGAUUGGUAACCCGAUGAGCAGGUUACAACUGUUUAAAAGUCAAUCUUGGCCUUAAAAUAUGAAUGUCUAGAUUUAGUUGAACUGAUGUAUUAAAGCAUUUCUCUUAUUGUAAAAUAGUUAAGUAUAGCCUUCAAUUAAAUAGUGAGUACAAUUCGAUUAAAAUUGACUUUAUUUAGAAAAGUUGUAUAACUAGCUUAGCUAUUCUUUUCUCUACUAAUUACCUAAGGCAAUUCUCUAAUUGUAGUCCGGCUACUAUACUUUUAUGAGUAUGAUCUCUCUCGUACUCAUAAAUUAUUUUCGAUGAUAGAGCUUCGAAUUGACGAUUCAUACCGUUAAAUAUUAUAUAGAGCAUUUAAAACCUAUAGAAAUCAAAUUUCAUAAUUUUUUGAUGUUAUUUAUCUUACGAUCAAAAGGUCACAAAAUUAAUAAUUUUUAACGGCUGGUAUGGAAAACUUGCUAGUUUAACGGUGUAAAAGAAUUGGAAUAGAUUGAAUUUUUGAUAGAAAAUUUUAUUCACUAUCUAGAUAAACAUCAAUAACUCCGAUCUUAAAUUGAAGAAUCCAAUUAUUUAUUUUUAGCACGUCGUUCGAUUUUGACCAUUCAUGUUAUGUCUGCUUGAUAGACUUUAUUAUGAUUUUGAAAAAUUAUGAAAUUUAUUUUUUAAAAGUUUCAAAUACUCUACAUCAUAUUUAACAGAGUGGGCCGUUGAUUCAGAAACUCCAUCAUCAAAAACAACUUAUAAGUACGAAGGACUCUAUACUCAUAAGAGUACAGUACCUCUACCUUUCAAAA
rnacentral:lncRNA from 1 species